CGCCCGGGAGCGGCCCGUGGGUUUCCGUGGACCUGUUCCCGGCGUCAGAGCCCGCGUGGGCUCGGUGUUGUGUUCCCUCCUGGACGGCAAGAGCGAAGGUUUAUGGCGAGCUGGUGCGGCAGACCCUGUGGUGUGACCGUAAGGUAAAAGUCGCCUCUGCAAGCCAGCAAUCUGAUGGUUUUAGAGGGUUUUGGGGUCUGACGUUCAAUUCCUAAGAAGGGGGAUGGCAAAACAUCUUUAAAGUGCAUUUAUGCUUUGUGUGUUUGUAUGUUGCGCGCUGGCUGCGCUGGCCCAGGUCCAAGCUGAAGUUUCAUGUGGCCUGUGGAGAGCCGAGCAGGUUUCUGGGAGAUGCUUGAAAUGCCUUUGGCCUAACCAGCACCGAGCUUAUGCUGAUACACCUGUACUGUUGGCCCGCGUUUACAAUGGGCAAUUUAACUGCCCUAGGCCAAGAGCCGGAGGAAGGACUGUGAGACACGGAGACUUGUCCUUCCUCUCCCACGUUGUCUUCCUCCUCUAUUUGGGGCAAGGCCUCUCCGUGUGCCUGGUAGAGCAGACAACGCAGCGAGAGCUGGUUCUCACUUGAGAUGCUAAUGUAAUUAUCAUACUAUUACCGAGUUUCCUUCAUGGCCUCUGGUGAAGGGCACCGCUUAAAUCCUUUCGGAGAGUUCUAUUAAAAGACAUCAGCAAGCUCAACGUUACUCCAGAAACUAUGGCAAUUAAAUUGUCUAUCAGCUCCCAAGUUGUAGGUGGAACAGUUUUGGGGCAGAUCUAGGUGGCCUAUUUCAGAAUGUGACUUUUUGGGUUGCCUGCCGCCAGGCGCUGGUGGCCCCAGAGACCUUCAGAGUCACCCUGUUGAACUCAUGCCAUUUAAACGUUGGUAAACCACAAUCAGCUUUUUGCUCAAAGAUCUGUUGAGGGCAAUUCAUGUUGUCCGUAGGUUUGUAGCUGGUGUUUAUCGUUAUCAUUUGGAAAGCGGAGAAGUCCUGAUAGCAAAAAAAAAAAAAAAAAAGGAAAAAAACCCUCCCAAAAAAACCCGACCCAACAAAACCCCCCAAAAGAAGGUGGAUAAUGAGGCUGCUUUCUGCCAGUACAUCCGAGCUGUUUUCAGUUGUUAGGUUUCUCAUUUGCACUGAAGUUUUACUGUGACAGAGAAUUGCCUACGGGCUGUUCAGUGCUUUGUGCAAUUUUCAAGGCAUUUCUCACAUUUGUGCAGUAGGCAGUGACUUGAGUAUCUGGUGUGCAGUGUCUCCUUUACAGCCCGCACGAGCCUACCUUUCCAGGCACCAGCAAGAGGAACGGUGCCUCGCAGGAAGAAACGGAGGAACGUGGUCGCUCGGUUGCCCCCAGUGCAGCAAUGGACUAAAUUAAUGACUAUCACAACAGGGUGCAGGCUGCUGGGAGCCCGAGCCUGCGUGCAAGGAUCAGUUUUCCUUGGGGAUGCGUGCCUGUCCAAAGGAGUAAAAGGGAGUGAGAAAAGGCCACCACAUGGCCUGUGUUAGCUCUCUGAGCUUAGCAUCAAGUGAGCAAAUGAGAAGGACACACCUGUGCCUGCGGGGAGGGUUUCUUGUCUCCCUGCAUGCCAGCCAGCACGGCAGAGCUGGUGCAAGGGCCGGCGUAACUCCCUGCUAUCUUGUCAGGCCUCUUUCUAACACCUGGAGCCAGGGGGGAGCGGAGAGGGGAUGGUGCUUCACAGAGCCUUCGGUGGCCCGUGAGGCUGCUGCUGUGUACUGCUCCCUUCAGCGUGAGCCAGGGAUUUGCUCUGCGGGUCCUUAGUGGGGUCGCAGACCUUGCAUGAAAUAUGCCGUCGAGUCAGAAUUCACCCUGUGUUUUGCACGAAAACUCCUCGCGUCUCCACUUCUCUGCUCCUCUCCUGCCAGAGGACGAGCGCUCCCUGCUCCUGGUCAUCUGAGCUAGCCAGCGGGCCAGCACAACUGGGGACACCUGGAGCUCUGGGCACAUCUGGUGCUUUUUGCAUCAGACCCAUCAGGUUCGACCAAGUUCCCCAUCUGGGCUCAGCCUCCGUUCAGGUGUUUAGAUAAGGUCAGUAUUUGGAGAUCAGAACUGGGUCUGUGGCUCAAAAAUGACAAAUGGAAUAUUUAGUAGUUCCUCAGAAUAAGCCAGUGUCUUCUUGCCUACUCCUGCAUGCAGUGGGCAUGAGGUCCUGCCAAAGUAGUAGGGCUGUGUGUCAGGCCCUUGGUGGAUCCUGAGGAAGGGAAUAUUAAAAUGUCCCCUCAGUUUCUGCUGCAGGGAAGCUGCUCGUGGAGCUGUCCUGUCCUCAGGGACCGCGGUGUGUGAGGAAGCUUCUGCCACAAAGAGUCAAAGGGAGCCCCAGGGACACCCACAACGUCUCUACGGCUGAGCCAUCAGGUCUGGUGCUGCUGUGAGUCUACGGGCAUGCAGGCUGCUGCUCAAUGGGGGCGUCUUUGCCCUUGGGUACGUCCCUUGAUGCAGAAUGUGGCACUGAAACGCCAGGCUCCUGCCUCCUGAUGUGCAGGUAGGGACUGGAAAUAUUGGGUAUGUAUUGAUUUGGACGUAGCUUGAUGAGAACCAAAUCCGUGCGUUCUCUCAGCAGCGCUGGGGGACAAUUGCCAGGGACUGUGAUGAGUGUGUUAAGCUAUUUUCCUUUCUCACUUCAAUCAGAAGUGCACAAAAUGAGUUUAAUGAAGGGCUAUUCUCUGCUUACAAAAUGGUGCUGCGAAAGCUAGAUGAAUUCCCCUGACCUUUCCAUGUGCUUUACAUUAAUUGUCUGCCUCUUCAUGUCCUCUUCUCGCUGCCUUAAACGGUCAGCUUUUGGAAAGGCAGCUGAAAUAUAGCAUCUUAAAAUACUAAGACAUGUUGCCUUCUUUCGAGCAGUCGCUGGUGUUCUUACUGAAGUCUUUGUUAUUUAUUAUUGUUGUUAUUUGUAUUCACGUGUCGGGGAGCUCUGCAUAACGCUUUGGAGAAAGGAAUAUCCUGGAUUCCUUGAUACUACUGUAGUCAAAAUCAAAGUACCCUCUCCAGUGUGAUGUAAGAGAAGUAGAAGGAAAUAACCUGUGGAUAUGCCUGGAGGAUAAAACCAAAGCCUCUGCUGUGGCAGCCACGCUGUUGGGAAGCAGAAAGGACAGGAUUCAUGCUUGCCCUCUACUCACGGCGCAGCUGUGUUACAUGCCGAGUAAAAGAACGAAGCGAGAUUGAAAGCAACACCAGAAACCCCAGCCCUCGCUCUUGCUUGCGGCGGUGCAGCUGCCAGGUCGGCGGUGGGACACCGGGGACUGCCAUCCCACUGGGAAGAAAAUAAACCAGCAGCGACCAGGUCUGCCUUCGGCAAACACUAAUGAAGCAUUUUGGGCGUGUUUCUGUUCACGUGACUCUUAGUACAAUAAUGCAAAAUGUACAAAUCAAACCAAAUCAGGUGCGAAUAUUAAUGUCGUUGUUGAAUCCGGAUUUCUUAGAUGGUGGCGCAGCGUCUGUGGCCGAAUAUGCGCAGAACUGCUGGUGGCUAGACGAGAGGAACCCGACAGCUAGCUAUCACAUUUUUCAAGGGCUUAUUCCUAGCUGUUUAAUACCUCAUAUGCUCUCUUGGGGAGGGAGUAGAGAAGAACGGAGGAGUAUAUUUGGCACAGCAAGGAAGUGGACUCAGGUCUUUUCCAUCCGUUAGUGCUGUGCCGAGGGAGAGAAAGCGUGGUCCCGCAGUGGUGCUGAUCCUCCUCCACAGCGAGCUGAACGGUUUGAACUGGAGCAACUCCUCUCAUUUUUCCCCCAUGUGAGUGUGAGUCAGGCUGAGCUUCUCUAUUCUUCUCCAUAAUUGAGUAGGAGAUUAUUUUGACUGGAAAGAACCAGACGCAGGUGUCAUGGCUGUGAACGUCUCCGUGCAGGCCACUUGCUGAAAGUCCUGUAAUGUUCUGCGAGGGAAGUUGGGCUUUAAAGGGUUGGCUCAAUGGAGAGGGAAGAAAAGGAGAGGGGAAGAAUAGCUCCUUCCUGCUCACUUCUGUCUGUCACGGUCUCUUCUAAACUGAACCGGCUGAAUUGUUGGUGGCAUGCUGUUCCUCAGAAGCGGCUCUUUUGUGGAAGGGCUCCCCGGCGACACGGGACGAGACGGGAAAUAUCAGCCACGUCGUGUCUUGCUACAGGAGCUUUUAGCUGCUAUUCCAGUCCCUGCCACAGACGUGCCAAGAAAGUUACAGAACAGCGUUCCUCUAAAAAAAUCUCCCAGGGAAUCUCCCCAUGCACGCGUUUUCCUGUUUCUUCACUUCGUUUUUCCGUAGUGCCCUCUCAUGGCCGUGUGCUUGGGUUGUACUUUGCACCCCUUGGCCGUGGAUUCAGCAAGCGCUGGAGCGCAGCGCAGCACGGAAGAGAAGCAGAGCCGGCGUACGUAAGGCGCGUACGUACGCACGCGUAGGGGUGCGCGGGUCUCCCUGCGAGGCGCUGAGCCCUGCGGGUGCCGGCUCGUUGCAGGGAGAUGGGUGCAGGCUCCGCUGUGAGGGCUGAGUCCUAGCUACGUGCUCUUGUACUAGCAAAGCCCGUUCCUAAGGAGUGUCUGACUAGAUCAAACUUUCCCCGAUUUAUACCUAAAGAAAAGUGGAAUGGCUUCAGGCUGUUGAGCCGCGGUGCUGCAGAGUAGCCAACCCCAGAAGUUUCGUCUGUGCUGUAGUGACCUGCAGGCACUGCUCGUCUGCUCGUGCACCCGAUGUCCCAGCUCCAUGCUGUGGAGCUAACGAGCUUUUGGAGAUACUAGGGUGCUGCGGGCUCCUUAGUCCGGGGAUAAGCAGCUUGUUGCCUUUAGGAGCCCUUGGCUCUGGGUCUUCUCAGCAAGCAGAAAGUCUUCUAUAUUAGUAGGAAGGGUUAUGACGUUUUGUCACUAAAUAGGUGUAUUGCUAAUUACCUGCAUGCGCGUGUGCGCUGCAGCCAUCUCCGUGGGCUGAGGUGACAACUGGCUGCGGCAAAAACGGGCAAUGCGUUAUAUGCUCCGUCGUCAACUUUGUCUGCUUGACUGAUUUCCAACUUAACAAGCUACGCUCCCUGCGCAGGGACUGUGCGGUCUCAUCGGUGCAGGACGACUCUACCGCCCUCGUAGUGGUGAAAUACCCGUUGACACCCACAGCAAAUUUAUCACUAACAGCAUAGACUCUUUCAGAGCAAAGGGUGACUGUCUUAGUUAUGAACUUCUUAUAGUUAACUUAUUUAGUUAUAAACGACUUAUUUUCACCAGUUCCCUUUCUCUGCUUUCAGACAGAGCUACUAUGAAUGUCCGUCCAGAAAAGUCACUGGCUUAAAAAAGAGGUCAUGUACAACUGAAAGAUUAUUUUCAAAGUCAAUGUGAAAAGAAGCUUUUACUUCUUCAGCAUGUGUUCAACCCAUCUUGUCUUCUCCACUUGCUAUUUACUAGUAUCUGCCAUCAGAAGCAAUCCUGCUGCACCUGGUCAGUAGGACUGCUCCUGGUUGCAACUGCCGCUCUUACGAAAUGCCAGAGACUCCUCUUCGGGCAGUCAAAGCAUCUUCAUUUUUAUUGUGCAUUGUACUUUUUUUCCCUCUUUUAAUUAUUGCCCAGAUAUAAAUGAUCCCAACAGUGCUGCUGCAAGGUGUAACUAGGAACAUAAUUUGGUGUGUGUUCCUAAAAUUUAUUUUAAUUGCUCUCCCUGGAGCAGUUUGGGAAUUGUUCUAAUUAUUGGGGAGAAUUAUUUGAAAUGCUGGAGGUACUACUAAUGGAAAUCUGUCCUGCUGCUGACAUCAGUUCAUUGGCAGAUUUGCCAAAAAGUAUCUUUCAGUAUAAGCUAUAUUGAGGUAUGAUCAUACAAAAUAAUGACUUAAGUGCAAUUAUACAGUGUAAUUGUUCUAGAUAAAUUUCUUUUUUUUUUCUUUUCUCUUCUGCAGCAAUACGGAAAGUGCUUAGUAAGGACGCACGUGGUUGGAAGGACCGUCGAGAUCUGCAUGAAUUUCAUGCAUGCAACGUGUGAGUCCGACCUGGGAAACGAGCGUUACCUGCCAAGUUUUAUAAGGCCACUCGCCGCCGUUCUCUACGGAGAGACCCAGCUCUGUUGCCAGUGAGCAAAGCGGGAAUUUUGACAGUGAUUUCCAAGGGAGCUAAAUCGUGCUCCGUGAACAUGGAGCGCUAGCAUGCAGUGCUCCUUCUCGUUUUUUACUUAUUAAUGUGACUAAUUAAAUGUUUGUAUUUUUUAAGCGCUAACUGGUUUUUGAUAGUCGUUUAGAGACUUCGAGAAAGUCAAUAAUUUUGAUGAAAUAAGACUGGAGACUCCAGAACAAAGUCCACAAGGAAUCUGUGGUGUUGCUAGGAUACCGCUAUUAGUAUUUUCAGUGGCUGGGGUAUUUUUUUGGUGCGUUUUUUUAAUCGAUUCGGUCUAACCAGUCUUACAAACAAUAGGAGAGCAUGCGACUGACUGAUCUCAUUUACACAACACUCCCCCCAUUUACAGUAACGAAGCCAAAUUUGACCCAUGAGUUUCGUCCAAUUUUAUAUGUGAAGAAGAAACACAGGGCGUAAUUUUGACCUGAACUAGGUGGAGCACAUUUUACUCCAAUUUGGACUUUUUUUCUCCCUUAAGGUGUAGACUUUUCUACAUCUGCGUGUUACAUUCAUGAACUCAGUCUCCCUCUAGCGGUUAUUUCCAAAGGGGUCCUUGGCUUUACUGUCGGAAAAAUUUGAUGGGCACAGAAUUUGCUUGAGUGUGAGGGAGAAAGUUGAGAUAACCCGCCUGAGCUGAACCACAGAGUAGCAGUGAACUCACAGUUUGCAAGA